rnacentral:lncRNA from 1 species
GGGGCGUUUGAAGAGGACGGGAUGCAAAAGGGUGGAAGGAGGAUCAGUCAGGUACGCCAGGGCCAUUUAGCCUUAUAUUGUUUUUUAGGUUUUAAUUCUUUCAGAAGGUACCUUAUAUUGUUGCUUCAGUGCCUCUUCGAUUCAAAUGACUUUCGUAGGAUUUUCGGUGGAUUACAAUCCUUUGAAUUUUUCAUACGCUGGUAGUUUCAUUCGUAGUACAGUAUUGAAUCCUAUUGGGAUUUUUCCUACAUUCCAUAGAAAAUCUAUCUAGCAUCCACUCCAACUACAUUCCACAGAAAAUCUAUCCAGCAUCCAAUCCAAUCUCUUGAAAAAAAUCAUUUGUUUUUCCUGAGAUGUAAUCAUACAAACUCAAGUCCUGUAGGAUUCAAAUGGGCAUGACAUUCCAAUCAUGUGUUUUUCCUAUUUCUGCAUUUUUACAAUCCUGCAAAUCAAAGAGGCCGCAACUGUGCAGUUUAUAGAAAAUGAAGUGUACGAGUAAACCCAUAAUUCGUAAUUCAGAUGCGAGACUUGUUAUUUUUGUGAACUCGUGAAAAGUAAGUACAUUCUUAAUUGGGAUCCAGUUUAUAAGGGAAAGUGGAUCGUAAACCGCAUAAGCAACAAAGGGAAAAAAGAAGAAGAGUGAAGUGGGUGCCCAUGAUGAGGCAUAGUCCAACUGGCGCACACAGAGGUCACCACCACGAGUUACAAAUAGAUGUAGGGCGCUGUCGAAGGGUAUCACAAUACCAAGACCUUGCAAGUAUCCCCACAAUGUUAUAUAGGAGCAAGCACAAUCAACGAAUGCCAUUGAUAUGACUGCAAGUUUUGCUACAUGGGCAUGAUACUGGAUCAAUACAAGCUGUGAGACCACCAAUAGGCAUGAACCUUGACUGGAGCUCCCCCACAUGCAACAACCGGAACAACUUGCAAGGUGGGGUCGAUACCACAUAGAGAACAUGAAGCUCAAGGCAACACACUAUUCACCAUGGGAGAGAUUUGAGAUUGCACAACAAGGGAGAGUCAACUUUGAAGGCACCAUAUGAUGGAUAGGGGGAGUGGACGGAUGGUGGCACGGGUGACACCAAAGUGUACCACUGGACCACAAUUAUAGCCACCAACAUGGUAUGAGAACCCAUGACAUGGCAAGGGCAGGGCCAACAAGACGAAGCCUUCAAGAAGGGGAACAACGUCCACAAAUGAUGUCAUCAUUGAGCUUUGGCCUGGAGCACACACUGAGGAGUUGCAUCUCCAAGACCACGCCUCCCAGGAGUGUUACAAUGCUAGAAAGCACCGCCAUGGUUGCCUGAAAUGAGAUCGAGCACAGUGUUUUCCAGGAGCACACACAAUGAUUCAGACCCAAACGCACCACCAAGACACUCCAUAGCACCAAGGGGUAGCCUUGGCAGAGCAAAUCCUAGCUGCACAUCUUGAAGACCACUUCAUGGAGGUAUAUGGGUUGACGCUGUGGUGGUUGGCUCAUACAUAGGUCAACAGGGAUUUCUCUCGAAGCAUGUAUUAGAUCCAUCUUGACAUGCCGAGGAGCCAGGCCUGAAGCACUUGCAACCUUGAUUCAGGGGUUCAGGGCCACCCUGAGCCGAAGGUGGAGAGGAUGGCAGGGAUAGCUGCAACACGCCGUGGGCCUCAAAGCGGGAGGUUGAGCGGAGAGUCCGAGUGCGUCCAACCUACGUUGGACUAUGAUGAGAGAGGUCGGGGUUUGACGAGUAGGCUCCACACCCAACCCCACACCGGAGCCCAUGUGAGGCAUCAACCGCCGGAGCCAGGGCAGCGCAACUAGAUCGAUGUCGUAGGAUGGGGGCGUCCAUCCAAGGAGAGGGUGGAAGGGAGGAGAGGGGGAAAGCGGGAGCGUGGGGUGCAUCGCCGCCAUCGCCAGCCCUGGCUGCAGGUGAAAAUGACGGUGUACGUGUGCACUUUUUUGCUGGCGGCAGGGAGGCUAAUAUUCCUUCGUAUGAUCAUUUACGCUUCUUUCUACAUAGAAAAUUUAAAUUCUCCCAUAAAAGAAUUUGCCCUAAAUGUUUGAUGAUCCAAAAAGAAACCUUAGAAAAACUCAAAAGAUGUUGUUGAUACCAUGUUAUGAAUAACACUUGCAUUGAUAAAUGGGGCAUUAGGCCAUUAUCUAGUGUAGAAAGGGACACAUUAUUUGGGCCAUUUAUAUCCCUAGCGAAAGAGCUUGAGUUUGUGUUUACUAUGGCCAAGUUGAUGAUUUGGAGAAGGAAAACCUUUCAUCGAGGGUUUGGGCGAUUGGGAGAAAUAGCACAAUCCAUUUCUUUUUAGUAUAGGCGGUCGCUUAUCAUCGUGUGACCGUAUAUUAAAUCAUUGGGCAACAUCAUGAAAGAAAAGGAGAGAUGUACAAUUUGAGUCUUGUCUUUAAUCAUUUCUACAUCAACAAAACAAGCCCAUGUGGCGUAGUUAGGGACUCAACCAAACCGUUUCACGUAUAAGCCUGUAGGGGUGUUGAUUGUCCGAACAAAAGAUUCGGGAAAAAAUAUUUAUUACUGUAUAGUUUAGGGGCUUAAAUAGACCUAACCACGUUAUGAACAUAAACAUAGGUAAAAAGCAUGUUCGUAAAACAUAGAACAAGAGAAGCCCAUAAAAGGCUAAAAACUCUUAGAGCAUCUCUACCAGAUGAUGCAAAAUGGGCAGCUGCCUAAAAAACCGUUUUAUGGCAUUUGGACCCAAAAUGGUGCUCCAGCAGAUGCCCUAUCCCUAUAUCGUGCUAGAAUAUUUUUGGGGCAGCCCUUUUGUUCUCCAAAUAUACAACAGCCGCGUAGUUGCCGCAAAACAAAAACCUCAGCCGCGCUUUGCUCGACCGCCGCGUGAACCCCCCUAGUCGCUUCCUCUGCCUUGCCGACGACGAUGCCCAAUACGGCCACCACCGCCAUCGGAACAGCCGCCCCUUUUGUCGAAUCGGCCUCUGCACCACCACGUUGACCAAAUUGUCUGCCACACCACGCCAUUUGGCCGCCACUGCCGCCAGAUCCACCGCUCUCAUUCGUCUCAGCCGUCGACCACCGCCAUCGCCGAGCUGAAGAUGUUGCGCCACAACGCUAAGGCGAGGAGGAGCACGGUCUUCCACUGUGUUUGGCAUUGUAGUCCCACGGCUAUGCUGUCGAUAUCUUGUGCGAUGGGAUGCAAGUCUGGCUCAGGACCUUCAAGACAACAGAGCUCGCUACAUGCGCGUAUGAUGCCGUGGCCGCUGGCCCAAGUCAGAGCACACUUUCCUGACGUCAUGAGCGAGAGGUGGCGGAGUUCCUCGCUCCUGAAUUGGGGAUUGUGUUUCACGAGGAGAAGAUGGUUGCCUCAUCGUGGAGCAACACACCGCCCAUGAGAGCGAUGCGGUGGCUAUGGCAAGGUUCGCAGCGGAAAGUCCUUACCUUGUGCAGGUGGAAUACGAAUUCUUUGCCAGUAGGGACGUGCAACACAAGAAGGUUCUCAAGGAGGAGGAUGAGGCUGGCCCCUCACAGGUGAUCAAGCUUGAGUUGGACGAUGACAAAGCCGACGAUAUUGACUUGAGACCUCUAUCGUAGUAGUGAUGAUGAGUAGUGUAUCUAUCUUAGUACUGUUAGUUUAACUUUGAACAAUUAGAAGUUUGAAAAUGUCGAAAUAUGCAAUAAUAUUGCCCUACUACGGCAGAAAUUUUUCCGGUGACCUAUUUUACAUCGUCUGCUAUGGCAGAAUCUUUUUUGGUGCCUUAAAACCUACUCUUUAGUGCCCUAUUAUAUGUCAUCUGUUGGAGAUGCUCUUAGCAUGGCUCCACCUAGUAGUGCACAAAGCUCUAGGGGACGUACUGACGUACUAUCGACAACUCAUGCUGAUAUGCCUAACAACACAUCCACCAUGAGACUCGAUGCCAAGAACCAUCUCUUUUGUGCCAAUCAACUCAUAGCCGAUUCUUCGAACUAAUGUGUUAUAAUUGUAUUGUCCCCUGCAUUGCCUUCCAGCCAUCCCUAACCCUCGCAUGAUCUUCCAGGCGUCAUGGGCGAAACCACCUAGACUCGCCGCCAGCAGCCCUCCACGUCCCAUACCUUCUCACCGUUGUCGGAGGCACCGACAGGGCUCCUCGCAUGACGUUUUUCCAUCAGGUCCAUUGGCAGGACGACCUUUUCUCCCGACAAUGACGGCACCUCUCGGUACAGAGGUCCAUGUGACACAUCGUCGUGGUCGCGACCACCUUCUUUGCGGUGCAGUAGAUUGUUGUGGAUUAGUGGAACGAUGACUCUUCCUCGAUAGCGGAUCCCGACGAUGUGGGGGCAUGGCAUGCUCUUCUCUUGCAACAAGGCAUGCGGCACCUUAGCCAUGAAUCUUGGCCUAGGGUCUGUGGACUUGGUGGUCUCCUUCACUAGUGGUCAUGUUGGCGGCGGUGGUGGGCAUGGUAGAGUGGCUAGGUUCGAUUUGGGGAAGGAGGGAUGGGACUGUCGGUGAAAGCUAGGCUUCGCUCGGUCGAAGCCAAUGACGGUGGCGCCUGCGGAUGUCGUUCCCUUGCUUAAGGUGUCUAGAUGCAGUCCUUGACUAUUCUCUCAUAAUGCUUUAGCGGAAACCCUAGGUUCCGGUUUGCCCAGAUCGAAUGAUGGCGGUGCUCGGCGUCUGUGUUCCUCCUUCGGGGCAUUAUAUUGGAGCUUGGCCUGGUUGGCGAGUCCGUGGUUGGUUGUGAUUUCGCUGGUUGCUUGCGUGCUGGCGGGUAGCGGUGAUCAUCGCUACAUUGCGGCAUGGCGGUGGUGGUGCACGGUUGCAGUGCCGACGAUGCUAGGUUGCGGAUCAUGUUCACCGGAGUUUGUGGCGGCUUAUUGCGGCCCUGGCUGUGUAGUGACAACUAGUGUCUUGUGGGGGCCAUUAGCCAUUCCCAGAUUUACUAAUGGCAAUCACUUGCAUCGAAGGCAUGGGAUUGCUGGAGCGUCUCCUACAUGGGAUUUUCGUGGUAUCGACUCCUCUCGCUAGUUUGAUUUGCGACCAGUCUCACGUGAUGUGACAUAUUAUUGGCCUCGUACAAGAAAAGCUACCCACGAAGAAACUCAUGGAGAGGCAAAGAGAAGCCUCACAUCAAGAAAGGGGCUAGGAAUACCCGUUCGUCCGGGCAUGGCGCUGGCACGAUCUGCUCCCGCGGCGGUGCGCGCCAGUGAACUUCCAUUUGCUUCGGGAAGAACAAUAUUGGGGAAGAAGCAACAGUUGGCGAGCUUUGUCAGUUGAUCUUGUGUCGACGAUGUUGUGUCGCCGACGAAGUGACCCAUUUCCCUUUUGUGUCGUUGGCGGCACCCUUGCUAGUGGCACCCUUCUUGCUGGUAGCACCCCUAGUGGUUGCGCUGCAUCCUCUCCUUCGGCUUGCACCUCUGCGCUCAUCGGGUGUGUCUGGCUUCAACUUGUCUAAUAGAGGAAGGGGAGAAAAGCUUGAUGCGAGAAGCUUUGUUUGCAACGGCGGAGUGAGCACAUGAGCAAGAUGAAGAUGGGUGAAAGUGAGAGAAGUGUACCAUUCCAUGCUGCCGUUCCCGUUUUAUAUAGCUCAAAGGAAAUCCAAACGGCGCCCCGCAUGCCGUGACGUGUGGCCACGUUUCUCUUCAGAAACCACCCACCACUCACACACCUUGCACGGAUAUUAAGGCAUGAUGAUGACGGUGCGGGAAUCCAAGUUAGCUUUUUGUUAUCUGUGCUUAAGCUCGCUUUAAAUCGUAGGUUCAUUCAGUUAGGUGCUCAUUUUCCUCUUGAUGCAUUCAGUAAUCUAAGGCAUAACACAAUUGCAAAAUCCUCUUCAAAGCAGGUUACAUGAUUUGUAACCAUCAAAUUCUUCUGAACGGUGAAACAAAAAGAUUACAACUCACAAUCGUACUUAGCACAAUCAAGUUAUUGUACACAAUUACUUAUUCAUGAGGUUUACCCAUCAGAUUUGAGAAAAAUAGCCACCCAAUCAGCUCUGAUUCUGCAUUUCGCAGUUGGAAAAAAGGCAAGUAGCUAUAUCUGUAACAUGUACAGAUUCAUGUCUGUUGGAAUGUCAGAACUUGCUUACCUCUUCUGGAAAUUAAGUUUCUCAAUGGACAACGAAAACAAGAUUAUCAACACAAAAGGAAAGGCAACGAGGACAGCUGCUACUACGCUCAACUUAUCUUGAUGAAACCCAAAAUAGUCAUUCAAGAAGAUUGAAACUGAUUUAGUUUCUCCAAAUGCUUUCACCUCUUUUUCUAUGUUUCCGUAUUGUGAUGUCAAGAGGGCAUUGAGUGCCCAAGAUGUAGGAGUGAGAUAGUAGAGCCAAGUCCACCACUUCGGGAUUUGCUGCAACGUGAAUUGAAAAUGCAUAUUAGUGCUUUCCUCUAUUCAUGAUUCUUCCCUAACAAUUGAACAGAACAUGAUUAUUCUAUUGAGCAACGCUGGAAUAAUUAUCAAUUUCCAACCUAGAAAAUAGAAAUGGAAGUAUUAAUGAUGAAACUGAAGAUGGUAUGUCUAUAACUAUUAUGAUGUUAAACUAACAUUGGAGUGGUUCUGUGUAUCGUCAUCCAGUGAUGCCUUAUAGUUGCGGUUGGUCCUUGUAUUGUUGACAUAUUACUACUUAAAUAUUCCCAAAACUAAGAUCUAUCAGGAGGAUAGAUCAGUUGAUCGAUCACAAAAAUUAAGCAAUCAGUAAAAUUGAGGAUCUGGGGCAGAAGGAAAAAAAGGUGUCAUGGUGGGGAAGUUGCAAAGGUGAAUAUUGACAAAAAAAGAUAAAGAAAAGUUUACCAGGAUAAAAACCCUAAAACCUAAUUUGAUACCUUUGUAAGGCAGAAUGCAUUAAUAGGAUGCCUAUAAGGGUAACCUAGAUGUAGUACAAUAGGAGACUUCUGCACGAACAUGAACUCUGGAAUAAAGUAAAGCCCAUAAUGCCCUAUUAGACCUUUAUUAGUUCCAUAAUAUUAUUACAUAAUUACACUACAAAAUCUCGUCAAUUACAAUUUCUCAUGUAGGUUGUUAUUUUCUUAGUUGGUAUAUAUUCAAGGUGGGCAGCCAUAUUUUUGCUAACAAAAAGAAGUGCCAGUUACAUCUUGGAGAGCUAAAGUUUACGAUAUUGGGAGGAGAUAAAGACUUACAGGUGCAGGUAAAAUAAAUCCUGAGAAUAGUGUUUGCAUGGUGUUGAAAAAUGAAGCCAGUAUGGUAGCUACUUGAACAUUGGGGGUUAUGGAAACAAGAAGCAACCCAACAUAAACAUAGGAGAGAAUUGAACAAAAUGUGGUGUAGAAGAACCAUAGGAAUUUGUGUGCUGUCCAAUAAUAACCAGUUGACGGAUAGACAAUUAACGUAUACAGUACCACUUGGAUAAAUACAUAGGGUAUCUCAAUGAAAGCCUGUAGAAGGUGAAUAAAUAUGAGCAUCAGUGUCAAUGUAUAUUUUACUUCUCUUACAAGCUUGUGAUCAUUAUCUGACCUGUGCGAAUGAAUAUGACCAAGAUGAAUACAUUCCUGCAAAUCUCUCACGAUACAUUACAAUACGCUCAGUUGUACUGAAUGGUAUGAUUGUCUGAUCAUUAUAAGCGCCUAUGGUGGUGAAACCCAAAUACAUUGCACCAAAAACACUGAGCAUGUCCUGCUCGUUGUUUCUUAGAAGAGAUAAGAGAAAGUUAGAAUAAUUUUGCAAUGAGUCUGUGAAGUCAACUGAUGUGCAAUGUUGUGGAUAACAAAGGAGUGAACUUACAAUACUUUUGCAUGCUUCCAGAACAAUAUUCCGUAGAUCAGGGCAGAUAUGACAGUCAUCAUAAUGCGCCUCAAGUUAUACUGAGGACUCCUCCAGUAAGUUAUGUUUUGUUUCCACAAGCAAGCUUUAAGUUGAAUCCAGCCAUUCUGUGCAAAACUAUGGGAGAAACAUAGAUUUUCUGAAUUUGGUAAUGGGAUACUUAGCUGCUCCACUAGAUCUUCAGCUUCUCUGCAGAAAAGUAACUUUAAUUCUUCCAAACUUCAAAUGGAGGUAUUUUGUUUGGCUAAAUUUUUUUGCUAGAUGAAUUUUAUUUUGCUUAAGCUAUUCAUAUAUGUUGCCUUUUGCUCGAUAUCCUAACUAAAUCCACAAGAUAUGUACCUAUGCAGUGACGACUCUUCAUACAAAAUUGCAAAGUCCAUAUUGUGUUGAACCUCCAUUGAUGUCGAUGUUACAUCCAUCAUCCAAGUAGCUGGAUUGCAGUUACUCUUUAUUUUUGGGACUCCAGAAAUUUUCUAUCAAGUGGACAAGAAAAAUUCAAUCUAUUAGAACCAAAGGACACAUGUCACAAAUAUGGCAGUGCCAUGCCACAACCGUGCUUCCUCUCUGAAAACACCGAAACACAUACAUAGAUAUGCAAACAAAGUUCUUCAGUAUGUUUUUAGUUUCCAUUGCCAAUCUGUACGUUUAUUGUCACAUUUGCUUUUAAGUUCAACAUGUAAAAUACAUAUGAUCACAUCAAAAUUUUGAUUAACCUAUAUAUUUCAUGUGAAUUGUUAGCCAAGUUACAUAUUGAACACAAAUGACUGCUAGAGUUGACUUAAGUGUUUUUGCUAUGGCAUGUUGAACAUUUGAGCACUGGUUUUGGGGUUCGUUCCUUUGGAACUCUCACGUUUAUUGUUCCAAUUCCAGAAAAAAACAGUGAAAACGAAUAAUCAAGAAAAAGGCAAAUACAUUUGUGGAAAUAUGUUCAAGAAACUUGCCUCAAAGUACUCGAUCACUUUGCAGGAGCGCUCUCCUAUUGGUCCACUGUAGAUUGUUUUCCCACCGCUUUUCAUUAAUAUGAGCUGCAACAAAAUUUACUACAUGCAUUAUAGGCAACUUUCGACUACAACUAGCCCUGUAAUAAAGAAAAUCUAUACCCUUUUUGUUAUUAUAAACAGAGAAGUAGCAAAUAUAAACUGUCCGUAGUCACGUCGAUUUGUGAUAAACAUAUAGUUCAGAAAACCAAAAAAUAUUCUAUUCGGUGACUUUCCAGUAUAAGCCCUCAAAAUUGUUUUAAUUUUGUAAUCAAGCCCAGAAAGUCCAAAUUUUGUGCGAUGACAAAUUUGUGUCAGUGUGGACACUUAGUUCAAAUAAGAGAUAAAAAUUAACUGACAUCGAACACAUAGAUGUUCAAAUAAUUAAGAGAUCAAAACAUGUCAUUGCAUGUUUAUACUUUAUUCUUCAUGCGGACUGAUAUAAUGGGGUUGUUUUUGUACAAAAAGUAUAUGCCAAAUAUUUAAGGUAAGAAAUGUUCUCCCGAAACAGAAAAAGGAUGCUAGAUGCUCCCUCUAUCUCAAAAUGUAAGACAUUUUUUGACACUGAUAAUGUCAAAAAACGUCUUACAUGUGUCAAAAAAUGUCUUACAUUUUGAGACAGAGGGAGUAGUAAAUAGUUGUUAAGCAUCUUACUAUAAUUUAGAUACCAAUCCUACUUAGCUCAAACCAAUGUUUAUAUCAUAGAUAUAUUAUUCAAAGGGUCAAAAAAUGUCUUACAUUUUGAGACAGGGAGUAGUAAAUAGUUGUUAAGCGUCUUACUAUAAUUUAGAUGCCAAUCCUACUUAGCUCAAAUCAAUGUUUAUUCAUAGAUAUAUUAUUCAAAGGGGUCUGAUCAGGUAUCUUCAGUAGAAAAUGCUUGAUCUAACAAACCAAAUAAUAGAAGGUUUCAGAUAAGCAAAGUUUAAGUUGAAGGGUUUUGUUGCACAUAAUUGAUCAUUUGAGGGGACAAAAGUGCAAUUUGAGGUCUAGGUUGCGCAAAGUGAAAUGGUUGACACGCUUAUAUUGCAAAUUUCCAUACUAUUAUUUCCUAUCAUUAUUAUUUACUAGAAAGGCAAACACAAAGGACAUGUUUUAAAUUUUAAAUAACUAAUAAUGUACUACUCCCUCCGUCCCAUAAUGUAAGACGUUUUUUGACACUACACUAGUGUCAAAAAACGUCUUACAUUAUGGGACGGAGGUACCUCUGUAACUUAAUAUAAGACGUUUUUGCAGGUGAACUGCAAAAACGUCUUAUAUUUAGUUACAGAGGUAGUGCAUAUUAAGAUUAGCCCUGCUCUGUUGAAGGCAAGGGCUUUAAUUAAUCCUAAUAGUUUUGAAACUAAACAUAUUGAUUUUUCCAGAAAAAAAAUUGUGUUGAUCGUGCUUGAUAUAUAUAAUAAAAAUGUAUUUGUGUUGAUUGUGUUUAAUAUACUAAUAUAUUUAGAAAGUUAAAUUACCUCAUCAAAUGCCUCAAAAAUUUCAGUGCUCGGCUGAUGGAUUGUACAGACUACUGUCCUUCCUGUUUCACAAAUAUUUUUGACUGCACGAAUAACAAUGGCUGCUGACCUUGUAUCUAAACCUGUUGUUGGUUCAUCCAUUAGUAUGAUUGAUGGGUUUGAAACAAGCUCGACUGCAAUCGUUAGCCUCUUUCUCUGCUCCAUGGACAAUCCAUUUUUCUGUGGUGACCCCACUAAGACAUCUUUUAUUUGAUCUAGUUCAACAGUUUCAAGGACUUCAGCAACAAAUUUCUACGAGAGGAACAAGAAGAAUAUUGUUAGUUUCUUAGGUAAGCCUCUUAUUUAUCCAUCUAGUGCUAUGCUUAUUAAAUUCGAUAUAUCUCUGAGACUGAUGACAUACAGAUCUUGUUUGUUCGUCGACAUGAGAAGGCAGACGAAGCCACGCAGAAUAAGUUACAGACUCUUCAACUGUAAGCUGUGGGGAAUGUAUGUCGACU